UGGGUUCAAGUUGAAGAUUGAAGUCUUGAAAUGGUACUAGAGAACCCAUUUUUAUGGGAUUUUGCGGGUGGAGAUGGCGGAGGGACGGGGAGGUUUAGGACAUGAAAGGAAGAAAGAGAAUUAGGAAUUUUACAGAGAUGGUGAAAGAGAUUUUUAGUAAUGAAAAUGGAGGAAAAGGGAGUGGGCUGUGUGUGUGUGUGUUAGACAAUAAAAAGGCGG
rnacentral:lncRNA from 1 species